UUGAGGUUAAGGGAAUGUUAGUAUAAUUGUGGUACAGGUACAGCAGUAGGAAAGAAGAGGACCGGAGGCCCAACGGACUCUGCAGCCGGUUCGGGCCCAUAACAUCAAAAGGAGGACAUGCAGGUAAGGUGGCCUACUAUAUAUAAUAAGAAGGUCCAGAGGGUGUAGUGACUCCGGGUGGGGGAAAAAACGCCCUUAUAAAACUCCUUGUUCUCCACAUCACAGGUCAAGCGUGCAACAAUCAUCUUGUCCCCUGGCUGUGAUUCACUUACCCGGGAAAAGAUUUCAUCAAGCUUUCUUGGACAUUGGAAGUGGGGCCUCUACAUAAGUGCUAAUGCAUUGAAAGUGCUAAAAGUGGGGCAUGCAUAUAUAGAAAAAGGGACAAUCAUCAUCAAUCAUCAAAGCAGGUCUUCAAGUGCUAUCAAGAGUCAGAGGAUCAACUUCAUCUCCAAACCCAGUCCCCUAGGUGCCACCAUUCCCAGCCGCAUUAUCCAUCUACGCUCCACCCUCCUCCUCCGUCCACUGGUCCACGCGGGGUCCCCCUCUAGGCCACAAAUCCUCAGACCAGAGAGGGGAUGUGACUGGAAAUGACUGGAAUCUUUUGGAGUACCCCCUCCGUCGCAGGACUGAAAACAAGGUUGUGGUAGCCGCCUCAAAGUCACUCCGAAGGGAACAUAUUUUAUGAAACCUGAGGACUUGAGACUUCACCAGCCCCUUGAAGAGAAGAAGACAGUGGUAUCCAGGAAGUUGACUGACUCCCGCUCCAACGUAUACUUCAAUUUAAUGGAAGGAUGG